CUGAGCCAGACUUCCAGAGACCAUGCCGGCAACCACAAAGGAGGUGAAAUCGAAUGGAAAAGAAAGAAUAAAUGUGACCAUUGGAAGGAUACACAAGAAAUUAAUAAACGGAGUCAGGCAUUGGGCUGGAGGACUGGGUGACCACGCAUGGAUUGGUUCUCGACUGGGGUUGAUUCUGGCCUCCAGAGGACAUCUACAAACAUCUGGAGACAUGUUGGCUGUCACACUUGAGAGGAGGGGGCAGUGUUACCUGCAUCUAGUAGGUGGAGGAAGGGAUGCUGUUAUAUCUCCUCCAGUGCACAGACAGCAAAUGUGUCCCCCACAACAGCAAAUGUCAACAGUGCCAAGGUCAAGAAGCCCAGCUCUACUAAUCGUGCAUUGAUUGUACCAUUGCCGUGCUGAUGAGUGACCCUGAUGAGCCCCUGCUCCUUGAAAUGGAGAGCCUGAGACUGUGGAAUUCCAGGUGGGGGCAUCCCUCUUGCUGAGUCUUUUGACUUGGGUGAAGGCUCCCUCCAGAAACCAAAUAUUGUUACCUUUAUUCGGGCUCCAGCCAGAAUAAUUCUGGGGGACAGCCCGAAUUUAGGGGCUGGCAUAAGGCAAUGGGGUUUCAGAGACUCGACCCUCUCAAAUAAUCACUAUAAACUCUUGUUUGAGUCUUGAGCAUACUGAAACCAUCACCCUCUAUCCUGGUUAUUUUGCCAGAUAUGGAAACAUUUAGAAAAUGAGAAACGAUGUUUCUAAGCUAUAUUAAUUUAUAUUUUGUCUAGAGUUUGCUCUGACGCAUUUCUUAGCAUACUGAAAGCCACAUUAGACAUGUUUUACACCUUUAAAUAUCAAGGGUUUAAAUUUUGAAAUAAUUCACUUUUUCUGAAAUCUUGACCUUCUAAGGCUGAU